rnacentral:rRNA from 1 species
AUUGAACGCUGGCGGCAUGCUUUACACAUGCAAGUCGAACGGUAACAGCACUUCGGUGGCUGACGAGUGGCGAACGGGUGAGUAAUACAUCGGAACGUGCCUAGUAGUGGGGGAUAACUACUCGAAAGAGUAGCUAAUACCGCAUGAGAUCUAAGGAUGAAAGCAGGGGACCUUCGGGCCUUGCGCUACUAGAGCGGCUGAUGGCAGAUUAGGUAGUUGGUGGGAUAAAAGCUUACCAAGCCGACGAUCUGUAGCUGGUCUGAGAGGACGACCAGCCACACUGGGACUGAGACACGGCCCAGACUCCUACGGGAGGCAGCAGUGGGGGAUUUUGGACAAUGGGCGCAAGCCUGAUCCAGCAAUGCCGCGUGCAGGAUGAAGGCCUUCGGGUUGUAAACUGCUUUUGUACGGAACGAAAAGCCCUCUUCUAAUACAGGAGGGUCAUGACGGUACCGUAAGAAUAAGCACCGGCUAACUACGUG